AGAUUGAACGCUGGCGGCAUGCCUUACACAUGCAAGUCGAACGGCAGCACGGGAGCAAUCCUGGUGGCGAGUGGCGAACGGGUGAGUAAUAUAUCGGAACGUGCCCAGUCGUGGGGGAUAACGCAGCGAAAGCUGUGCUAAUACCGCAUACGAUCGUAAGGA
rnacentral:rRNA from 1 species